GAGAAUGUUGGCAUGAGUAGCGAGAUGUGGGUGAGAAUCCCACAGGCCGUAAACCCAAGGUUUCCAGGGGAAGGUUCGUCCGCCCUGGGCUAGUCGGGACCUAAGCUGAGGCCGAAAGGCGUAGGUGUUGGACAACAGGUUGAUAUUCCUGUACUACCGAUAACCGUUUGAGAGAAGGGAUGACACAGUAGGAUAAGCUAAGCACACUGUUGGUUAU
rnacentral:rRNA from 1 species